GACGAACGCUGGCGGCAUGCCUAACACAUGCAAGUCGAACGAGACCUUCGGGUCUAGUGGCGCACGGGUGCGUAACGCGUGGGAACCUUCCCUUAGGUUCAGAAUAACUCCCCGAAAGGGGUACUAAUAGCGGAUAAUGUCUACGGCCCAAAGACUUAUCGCCUUUGGCUGGGCCCGCGUUGGAUUAGCUAGUUGGUAGGGUAAAAGCAUACCAAGGCGACGAUGCAGAGCUGGUCUGAGAGGAUGAUCAGCCAGGCCGGGACUGAGACACGGACCAGACUGGGACGCGAGGGAGCAGUAGGGUAUAUUGGACGAGGGGCGAUAGCGCAGUACAGCAGCGCGGGGUGAGUCGGGAAGGCCUUAGGGUUGCAAAGCUCUUUUAGAAGGGACGAUAAUGACGGUACCGGGAGAAAAAGCUCCGGCUAACUACGUG
rnacentral:rRNA from 1 species